rnacentral:lncRNA from 1 species
ACAGAUUUGUCAACGCCGUCCGUCAGCCAAGAGAUUGCGACCGAAGUGCCCAACGCUGACCCGACCUUGUUCCCUAGUGGAGACGGACGUGAUCCAAGCCAAGCUUCCGUACACCCCAAGCCGGCUCUCGAGGAGUCGCCCGCCAUGCGCACCCAUAUGCCCAACAUGUUUGAUUUCGAGGUGAGACCCCCUGACGCUGACUGCUGUGACAGCGAACCUAUGGAAGGCCUACAGUGUGACAUCUGCGGCAAAGGAGAGCCGCCCCCAAACAACCUGCUUAUCUGCGACAGACCUGCUAAACGCCCUGCCCAUGGCUGUGACCCGUACUGCCUGUGGCCGCGGGUACUUAACGUACCAUAUGGCUCUUGGUAUUGUCCCCAACACCUGAUGGAAACGGCCAACCUCUCUGGAGGGCGUGGUGCGGACAAGGGCCCGGUACCGGCCUUACCCGGUCGUGCGUCGAGCAUAGGCCCGGUACGGGCCGCCGCCACGGCGGAAGCUGUUGCGGCCGCUGCGGCUGCCGCUGCAACUCCGCAAAACAACGGCGCUGUCAUCCCGACCGCCACCACCGUCACCAAGACUCAAGGGCGCCUGCGCGCCACCGCACAUGGAAUGGAGAAGCCCAAGGAUAAACAGUUACGCGAUCUGCCCCCCGCUACCAAAAUGUCCGUCCAACGGCCCCUACGUGUACAGAAGCUGGCAACUGCCACUGUACCUCCUAUCGUCCUGCAUCGACCCAAAACGGACCGCAACCGAAGGCCCUCCCACCAGUUUCCCCUACCAAGGUAUCUUAUUUUACUGCUGGCGCACGAGCCCAAUCAAAUGGAGGGGCCUGCGUCUCCUACAGCCGCUAGGCAACGGUGGUCAACAAUCGCCUGCUGCACGGCUCAAGAUCAUUUCAACGCGGUUUAUGUAGUGCAAGCCGACCUGCCGCCGCAAGCAAGCAGAAAUGCCUGGGUCAGCACGCUACUGGGUCAUGCAAGGGACGCAUGACUGAAGGCCCGGUAGCGACAGCUGUGGCGACAACAGAUGUACUUCGUAAAUCCGCGGCUGACCCAUCUUUGCUACUGCAGAGGAAAGAGUAGAAAGUGCCGCACUGCAACAGGUUCCUGCUUUCCCCAAUCCCUGCCAGUGCGUGCGUGUGUGUGUGUCCCAUGCCCCUCGGGUAGCCCAGGUUCGCCAACACCGCCCCUUCCACCAAGGGCCCACGGUCCAGCAAGGAUCCCGUCUUGAACAUGGCGAGCCCAAGCCACUACGUAUAGCUUCCAGCGGCGCCGAGACGUGAGUCGCGGCGCUGCUCGUCCAAGUUCCACCGACCAAGACCAAUCAAGAUCCAAGGCCAUUGUGGAUCAGCAAAAAUAUGAUAAAUAGUUGAGCGAGAUGAUGAGCAUAGCAGCGGCAUUAGGCCGCGUCGAGUUGGUUGAUCUAGUAGUUCGCGAUCGAAGUUUCCGGACUUGCUCGAUGUUUCUAGUGGCGCCCCGGGCUAGCCUAGAAUGUUCGAAGAAGUUGUUUAGCACACCCACCAUCGAGCGACGUUUUGGGUAGUUGACGAGGUCGGUUGAAGGUGUGGCACGCCCGCCACCGGAAGUAGUUACCUAGCGAUAUAUAGGGGCCUGACGCACAUUCCAGGUCGACUCCCACAGCUGCACAGCACCUAGCGUUGCCUGAGGAAGCCUAAGACUACGACCAAGCAGCCAGAGACGCUAGCGGUAGCCGCCCCGCUCACAACUAGGUCGCACCAAGCCUGUGCUUAGCUGGCUCCUUGCCUGAACAUUCGUGGCCAACUCUGACUCCACAGCCUGGUUGCAUCAAGGCACCAGGGCUCGUUUGGCGUGUGCUGUGUCUUGCGGUCACAACCCGUGGCUGACGGCAGCAUACUUGUAACGGUUGAGUGCAAAUUCCCCUUCGCGGGCUGCCCCUUCCCCUUCCCCUGCGACCGACGCGUGCGGACCGGACUGGACCUAAGCCCUUCGCCAUAGUGCGCGGCCUCUAGUGUGUCAGGCUUCCCCCGUCACCCCGGCGCCUACAGUCUCCC